rnacentral:rRNA from 1 species
GCUUGCUCCCGGAUGUUAGCGGCGGACGGGUGAGUAACACGUGGGUAACCUGCCUGUAAGACUGGGAUAACUCCGGGAAACCGGAGCUAAUACCGGAUAGUUCCUUGAACCGCAUGGUUCAAGGAUGAAAGACGGUUUCGGCUGUCACUUACAGAUGGACCCGCGGCGCAUUAGCUAGUUGGUGGGGUAAUGGCUCACCAAGGCGACGAUGCGUAGCCGACCUGAGAGGGUGAUCGGCCACACUGGGACUGAGACACGGCCCAGACUCCUACGGGAGGCAGCAGUAGGGAAUCUUCCGCAAUGGACGAAAGUCUGACGGAGCAACGCCGCGUGAGUGAUGAAGGUUUUCGGAUCGUAAAGCUCUGUUGUUAGGGAAGAACAAGUGCGAGAGUAACUGCUCGCACCUUGACGGUACCUAACCAGAAAGCCACGGCUAACUACGUGCCAGCAGCCGCGGUAAUACGUAGGUGGCAAGCGUUGUCCGGAAUUAUUGGGCGUAAAGGGCUCGCAGGCGGUUUCUUAAGUCUGAUGUGAAAGCCCCCGGCUCAACCGGGGAGGGUCAUUGGAAACUGGGAAACUUGAGUGCAGAAGAGGAGAGUGGAAUUCCACGUGUAGCGGUGAAAUGCGUAGAGAUGUGGAGGAACACCAGUGGCGAAGGCGACUCUCUGGUCUG